rnacentral:rRNA from 1 species
GGUCAAGUUAUUAAGGGUGCAGGGCGGAUGCCUUGGCACUAGGAGCCGAUGAAGGACGUGAUAAGCUGCGAUAAGCUUCGGGGAGUUGCACGUAAACUUUGAUCCGAAGAUUUCCGAAUGAGGAAACUCACUUAGAGUAAUGUCUAAGUAUCAUUAAGUGAAUACAUAGCUUAAUGAGGGGAACUCAGGGAACUGAAACAUCUAAGUACCUGAAGGAAGAGAAAGAAAUUCGAUUCCGUAAGUAGCGGCGAGCGAACGCGGAUUAGCCCAAACCAAUAAAGUUUUCUUUAUUGGGGUUGCGGACAUAUCAUAACGAAGAGGUAUCGUAAUUGAAGAGGUUUGGAAAGACCCACCACAGAAGGUAAUAGUCCUGUAUGUUAAACGAGAAGACUUUAGAUAUGAUCCAGAGUACCACGGGACACGUGAAACCCUGUGGGAAGCAGGAGGGACCACCCUCCAAGGCUAAAUACUACCUAGUGACCGAUAGCGUAUAGUACCGUGAGGGAAAGGUGAAAAGAACCCCGGGAGGGGAGUGAAAUAGAACCUGAAACCCUGCACUUACAAGCUGUGGAAGCACAUUUCUUGUGUGACCGCGUACUUUUUGUAGAACGGGCCAACGAGUUACGUUAAGUAGCAAGGUUAAGCACUUAAGGUGUGGAGCCGUAGCGAAAGCGAGUUUUAACUGAGCGUUCAGUUACUUGACGUAGACCCGAAACCGGGCGACCUACCCAUG